UAAUCUACAAUGAUUCACUAAUUCAAGUCUGUCUGUCUGUCUGUUUCAAGGGUCAUUAUACUCUUCAUUAUUUAGAAGAAAAGUUGACUUUCCUUAAGUCUUUUGCUAAACCUGUCCUCUCUAUAAUAGGUUCUCAGCCAAUUACAUCUUUGCCUACAACACUCUCUUUUCUACACUUGCUCUUUCAGUUCUUUCACUGCUGACAACCACAUGAAUCUGGGCAUUAACAAGAAUCUCAAAUUUAUUAUGUUAAGUGAAAGUAGACAAUCUGAGAGUCUAGUAAGAUUAUACAAGGGUGACUUGAGUUUAUUGCAGUCAUUGUCAGGACUUCUCACUCAUACGAGUGUCAAUAUUCAGCAACAAUGCCUAUGUUAAAUAUACUUAUAUGUGGCUCCUGCAAAUUCGAAAAGCAAGGUGCCUGUGUGCUUCCUAAUCUGGAGACGUUCUCAGACAGCCGCCUUAGCGAACAAGGUGAUUGGUCUUCUUUGUGAUUUUGUUUAAGCUUCAAUUUUCCUAUUUUAAGCUACUUCCUUCUCAAAACACCUGAAGAAGCUUUUGUUUUCCUGAAUAAACACCAAGUGAUAAAAUAUGUAUAAAAUGAUAUUGCUAUUUUUAGUGAAUAAAAAUGCUCCAAAUUUCAAGAAUACAUUUAUUACUUAGGUAAGGCAAAAGAGUGUUUACUUGUAGUAAUCAAAUUACUAGAAAAUUGUUAGAUUUUUUUCUUCCACAAUGACUGUGUCCUUCAAUGAAUUUUCCCCCAUAGAAAUAAAGAAAAUACAGGUGAACUGAAAGCGUUUUCAAUUUUGCUUUCAUGAGAAACUCCCUUUUUAAUUUCCAAAUUUGUAUUUUCACAGUCUGGAUUUUCUUGCAAUUGCCCAGAUACACUUAACAGCAGCUUGCUCUUUUCAUUAUAAUUAAUGUCUUCCAUGAGUUGAGACUAGAAAAAAAAAACCUGUAAAAUCUUAUUGAUGAACAUAUCUAAAAAUCGGUUCAUUAAAAUUCAAUGAGUCUUUGUUGACUAAUGCCUAAUAAAGUAGACAUUAAUUUAGAAAAACCAAAGAAUCUGUAAUUUUUUACUUUUUUGAACUCCAAAGAUAAGUUAUUUAAUAGUUAUUACAUACUUUCCUUUUAAAAGAAUAUUUAAAAUAAUGUGGCAAUUAAUUGAUUAUAUUUGGAAUUCAAUUACUACUACUAAAUGUAUGGAUACCUAGUGUGAAAUAAUCGUUAGUGAAUUGAAAUAUGUUACACUUUCACUUUCCUAAAGUCCUUCAUCAUUGGCCAUUAUCCUCAACUCUCAAAAAACCAUUUCUGGCAGUGAAUACUUUAUUAUAUCACUAUUUAAUUACUUUGGAUAUGAUUUCCUGGAGAAUUAUUAUUGAUUUUGUUUUCUGGCAUAAUUGUUUCUUAAUAAUAUAUAUUAUGAUGGCUGGUAGCUGACUUUAUAAAAUCUUUGGGUAUUUACUACAAUUGAAACCUAUUGGAAUAUUAAAUAUUCUAAUGGAUGAAAUUUUAUUUUCUUUAGUAACAGAUGAGAAUGAUGAUGUAGUCUGUUAGAUUCUAAAAGCAGAGGACUAUAUUGUGUUCCCUUUUGUAUAUUUAAUGAAAAAAUAGUGAAUUCUAAGAAGUUCCUUAUUAAAUGUUGUCAUACGAAUGGAUAACUGAUUUUCAAACAUUUUAGCCAAUUACAGAAAUGGUAAAAAUAUUUAUCUUCUCUUUUAAUUAUAUUUUCUAGAUUAAAUAAUUUGGCCUAUGUUAUACAAAUUAAUAGAUUAUCUACUG
rnacentral:lncRNA from 10 species